rnacentral:lncRNA from 1 species
UCAUCCAAAUGACUGACUUUUCAAACAAGAUAAAAGCCCAUCCUAACUUAUCCCGUCAUGACCAAAAGCCUAGCCUAUCUAGGCUUCUUACCUCAUCAUAAUUCCAUCACCAUUAUUUUAGCAUUACCCCAUGCUUUCUGCAAAGCAAAACACCUCUGAAACUUUAUUACCACACGACACUUAAGCCACAUGCACAGAACCGACCCAAAACAUUUGCACUUUUAGAAAUAAUAAGCAUGAACACUCACACGUUACUGCAAGUUUUAAGAACAUCGUUUAAGACAAUACUAUUUAACAUAAAAUAAGUUUUAUAUAUCAAUAUUUACAUGUCUGUUGUUUGAGAAAGUAAAUUAGCAACAUAUUACCGUGAUCUAGAUUUUCGUACUUCAGUGUUUCCGGCUCAUCUUGAUCCUCAUUAUGUUGAGGUUUAAGGUUCCCGCUAGUUCCUUCAAACUUUGAAAAAAAAAAGGAGUUGUUAGUUCGUACAUAUAAGAAACAAAAGGGGGACACAUAAGUAAAACUGAGAUAGAGUUCAUUUGUGCGGAAGGAGAAAUGAUAUUUUUGUUUCCCUUUAUUUUCAUCCGCUCUAUCAGAUGCAAAAAGACUAAAAUGAGUGCAUUCAAACCAACUCAUUUUUUGCACUUCAGUCCUACAUAAAAUAUAUCUCAAUGAUACUAAUUAGACAGAGUCGGGAAGUUCAAAUAAAUCACUUAUAGCAACAAAAACAGUCAAAAAACAAAUGUGUAUGUAGAAAUUAAAAUAGUAAAGGUAUUGUUAUGACAAAAAAGUAAUAAUCUACUGUGAUUAAUUUCACAAAGAAACCAUAUAUAAAGGAAUCAUGCGCAAACAAUGCAACAUUAGAGUGUUAAAAAGCAAAUGAGGAUUAUAUGAAAUCUGAGAGCAACAACUUACAAAUGAGUAACAUGUAAAGUUAAAAUAGAGAAGACAUUGAUGUACAAUGUUGUACUCAUACAUAUGGAGAAUAAUAUAUAAAGUAAGUUGGAAAUAGAAUUUGCUAUUCUAGAAAAAAUGGAUUUUGCAAUUUUCUCUUAUGGAUUUUCUCUGUAUGGAGCUCUUAGUGCGGAUGGUUUAAAUUGUAAGCUCGAAAUGGAAUUUGCUAUUCUAGAAAAAAAUGGAUUUUGGAAUUUUCUCUUAUGGAUUUUCUCUGUAUGGACCUCUUAGUGUGGAUGGUUUGUUAAAUUUAACUCAAAACAGUAGAACAUUUAACAAAUGGGGGACACAUAACCGAAAGCUUGAUGCGAAAUAUAUAAGCACACAAAUUAAACCCUCUUUUUGUCAAUUGUAGUAAAGUAUGUAAGUAGGGAUCGUUCUAAACCAGGGAUUAGGAGGGAUUGCUAAACACUUGAAAACUAACUUAAAAACGUAAAAACAAAGUUUAAAGCACUAAACUAGACUCAAAGAAUGCAAAACUACAAUUUAAAACACUAAAACAAACCAAAAACUCAAAACAGCAACUAAAAGACUCAAAACUGCCUUAAAAACACUUUCUGGGCAGUUUUGAACUCUAACACAAAUCUGAACGAAUUUGAGUUUUAACUUGAAUCAAAACACUUAAAAACACAAACCAAAACACUUUCUAACUAAUCUAGGACUUCAAAAUAAAGGGGAGAUUGGUUUUGACGAAAUUGAAACAAAACACAAACUUUGUAAUUAAAACAGAUUGUAAAACAAUUUGGGAGUCUAAAUGGAUGAUUGAUUAGUUAGAGGCUCUUUCUCCACACAUGACGUAUAUGCAAACGAUUCGAUUUCCAAUUAUUCCUUCAUAGAAUUAUGAACGACAUUGCCCCAAAUUAACCGUGACAUCACUAGCUAACUCUCAGAUUUUCCUUGUAUUAUUGGAUUGGAUGGCAUCAUUCGACAACCCAAAGCAUUCUUCAAAAGUCCCCUACAUGACAUCAUAAUAGAGAUACGAUCAAAGAUCAUUACGUUCAAUGAAAACCAUAAGCAAUGACAAAGCACUUGCAACUAUGACAUCAUGUCACUCAUGCUAGGAAUUGAACUUAACGCGAUUGUGACUAGCAACCUUCACUACAUAUGAAUAUAAGUUUGUAACGAUUAUGUGAAACAUCCUUAUAUUCUAGCAUCAUAUUUAUGCAUGCCAAUUAAGUGUCGACCCCUAAUUAACAAACACAAAUAAGUUAUUAAUCAAACAGUUAAGCCAAUUGCAUUCACGAUUCAAGAAUUCAUAAUUGGAAUUUAUCAAAUCAAAUUGCACACAUAGUCAUGGCUUUGAAAUCACCCCUAACCAAUAGGGGUUUAGCCACUCAUGUUCAUAGCAAAACGAAAGGGAAAGGAAUUACACAAUGAAAUCAUAAAACGAAUUACACCUAGAAUGCACCAACAAUGAAGCUUGAACAUCCAAGGAUCCUUCAUUCUUCCUUCUUCCUUCUUGCUGCGGCACACAAGUGGGUGAGUGUAUGGAUUGGGUUUUGGGGGUUAUGGAUGGUGUAGAAGGGUGGAAUGGUGUUUAGGAUGGAUGUAUGGUGCGGCUAGGAGUGUUUUUGGGCAGAAACUAUGGAGAUUGGUGAAGGAUGGGUGCGGCAAAGGUGGUGGAUGAUUUCUGGCGUGAAUGGGAGUGAAUGGGGAUGUUUUGUGGCUGCACAAGGAUGUUUAUUUAAAGGGAUUUAAGAAAUAAAACCCUAGGUUAAUUAGGUAAACAGAAAUUAAGUCUAAAGCUCUAGAAUUAAGGAAACAAAUUAGAAAACUAAGGGAAAAUAGGCUAAAGGGUGCGACAAGGCAUUAAAACACAAUAAGAAUGUGUUUUUAUUCAGAAAAUAGGAAAGAAUCACUCUCCCUUGCACGGCAAGGAAGAGGAAAGGUCAAGGGAUGCGGCUGUGAUGUUGGAAAGGUUUAGGGAAAGGUUUAAAUGUCCUAAAACUGAAGGGAAAGGGUUCCCUUGCACGGCAAGGAAGAUGGAAUUGUGGAAAAGGCAUGUGAGGUGCGGCAUUGAUGUAAACCAUGCAAGAAAUGUGUGCUUGAUGUCCUAGAAUACUUAGAAGACCUUCAAAGUUGAUAACACUUAGGGACACUUAGGAAAGGUCAAACCAAAGUAGGAAACCUUGGCUUAACUUUCCUACUUCAAGUAGGAAUCCUUGUUGGAAUUGGAAUCCUUGUUCUUCUAGGAAUUAGGAAUCCUCAUGUGAUUAGGAAUCCCAUUCAAUUAGGAAUCCUUCGUUGAUUAGGAAUCCUUCGUUGAUUAGGAAACCUAAUUUCUUCAAGUCUUCAAAUUCGUCCAAACCCUUGGCUCCAAAUAUGUGACAUUCAUUCCAAGCUCCAUUUUGCUUCAAAAGGCUCCAAAAUGCAUCUUUUUAUAUGCUUUGCCCUUAAAACCUGAAAACACAUAAAACUAGCUUAAAAGACUACUUUAACUAAGAAAACACCAUGGAAAUGCAUAAGAACUAGCUAACUAAGGCGCAUAAAUAUGCUCCUAUCAAAUUCCCCCACACUUAGCUUUUGCUAGUCCUCGAGCAAACCAAAGAAAUAAAACGAAAUAAAACGAAACAAAACAAAUAAACACAACCUAAACCUUCCAACAUUUGCCUCAGGGAUUUCCAAUGCACAUGACAUGUUAAAAAUCAUCAUCCCCACAGAUUUGAAUCAUCUUUACACUUAAGCACAUACUUAAUCAUAAUCACCACUUACUUGUUCACAAUUAACCAAUUAAAACAAUGUUUUCGAUGUAGUAAUAUGCCUUAGAGAAUUCACUCAAUUCCUUACAAAGUAUGCACUCAAUAUUCACUCAGAUUUUGUAACUACACACCCUAUGCUAGUCAUAUGUGAGAAGAUUGAUGUAGAUAUGAAAACGAACACUCACAUAUAUGUAUCACAAAGAACGCAAUUUCUGGAGUUAAUAAACAUGUUUAGAUAUGAUCUCAUGAAUGGAAUGCUACUACUUAGACGCGAGAACCAGUGACACCAUAUGCUCAUACCAAAUUCAAACUCCACAAAUUGAAACACAUAACACUCAAGAUUGAAGUCAAAGGUUGUAACGGGGCUUGGGGUAUUGACUAACAAAGAAAGGUAGGGGAAAACAAACGUUCUUAAAGCAAUAGUAAGCAAAGCAAUGAAAUCUAGACUUAGAAUUCACUUUAGAAUGCAGAAAUCCUUUUAAACAUAAGGGGAAGAUUUAAACAACUCUUAGGGUCAAAUUCAACUUUUUGGACCCUUUCUUUAACCAACAAUACUUUAGAACUCUUUUUUACAUCUUUUCAACUGUUUUUUUCAUACUUUUCAUACUUUUCUUUUUUUUUCUUUCUUUCUUUGCACGAAUUUUUCUUUUCUUUCCUUUCCACCCGUGCCUUUGGCACACUACUUACAUGAGAAACACUUCCCCCACACUUGUUUUCUGCCAUACAUUAAUCAAAAGGAAUUCAAUUUGAAUCAUGCUUUACUAUGCUUCAAGAACAAGGGUAUGGAUGGUCCUAAUCUAGGCUAGGUGAGGAUAACGUGGGUUAACAAAGAAUGUAGGCUAACAAGGCUCAAUGGGGUUAACUUAAACAUAUAAUGAAGUAGGAUACAUGGCAAUUUGGUUUCGGUGGUGGUCACUACACAACUUCAACUUGAAUAUGUGUUAUGCAAAUCAAUAACAUGCUUUGAAUGAAAUGGGCAUGAGUUCUAGCAUUUGGAACUAAAUGAUGAAACGCCUUCUAAGUAGUAACCAAGCAAAGAAUAAUGAGAUCAUGCAACGACUUUAGAAAACAAUAAUGCACAGAUUUUAACUCUCCAAAUAAACGUUUAGGCUCAAGUCUCACAAGGUUGUAGCGUUUGUUUGAGUUCCUUCCUUCAAGCAUGUUACAAAAACUAAUUUUUUAUCCUUUAUGAUUGCAUGUGAAUUCAUAAGUUAUAACCACAACCAAGCAUAAGCAAAGAGUAAAUCAAACUUUCAUCCAUGUUUAAUAACUCUUUUUUAACAGCCAUGCAAUUACAAAACCGAAUCCUCAUCAUUGUGUUGGAAGGUACCCUAGACACAAACACACAAAAACGACUCAAAACACUCUUUUUAGACUUUUCAAAACACUUUUUUCAAAUUUUUAUGUGAUUUUCGGAGUUUUAUGUCAACACACACUAAAACACACCAAAACUGCUUAAAAACACUUAAAACAGCAAGGAACAAGUCUAUAAGUAAUGGGUGAUAAAAUCCCACGAAUUUGCAUCAAAAACACACUAAAACACUUAAAAACAGCAAGGAACAAGUCUAUAAGUAAUGGGUGAUAAAAUCCCACGAAUUUGCAUCAAAAACACACUAAAACACUUAAAAACAGCAAGGAACAAGUCUAUAAGUAAUGGGUGAUAAAAUCCCACGAAUUUGCAUCAAAAAACACACUAAAACAAAAAACAGCAAGGAACAAGUCUAUAAGUAAUGGGUGAUAAAAUCCAACGAAUUUGCAUCCAAAACACUUAGUUACCCCCCCCCCACACUUAAAUCAAACAUUGUCCUCAAUGUUUCAAGCAUAAAAUCACACCAAAUAAAAUUAAACACACAAACAGCAACUUAAUCAACUAAACUGGCAGAUUAGAAAGAAUCAACAAAGAGAAGGGUUUUAGGAACGCAAAUCUGGACUUGGAGUGAUUCCUAAGUCUUCCUUUGUUGAAUGCAUGGGUUGCCUCCCAAGUAGCGCUUUCUUUUACGUCUUGCAGCCGGACGAAGAACUCAUUCAUCUCUCAUUGGAGCCCACGACAUGGAAUGGGAUCUCCUCCACAACCUGCCCCACGACACUCUCAUAAUAUGGCUUCAAUCGAUGUCCGUUUACCUUGAAUUCUUGACCAUUCCUCAAGCUUUGGACUUGAACUGCACCAUGUGGAAAAACAUUAGUAACAACAAAAGGUCCAAUCCACUUAGAACAUAACUUACCAGGGAAUAAACGUAAACGGGAAUUGAAAAGCAACACUUUUUGCCCAAUGGUGAAGGUUUUGCCCCUAAUCAUCUUGUCAUGAAACGCCUUUGUUUUCUCCUUGUAAAUUCUGGCAUUCUCAUAUGCUUCAUUCCUUAGCUCCUCAAGCUCAUUCAAUUGGAGCUUCCGAUGAAUUCCAGCAGCAUCUAAGUCCAAAUUGAAUGUUUUCACGGCCCAAUGUGCCUUGUGCUCUAGUUCCACGGGUAAGUGACAUGGCUUGCCAUAGACUAGCCGAAAUGGAGACAUCCCUAGGGGUGUUUUGUAGGCUGUUCGGUACGCCCACAAUGCAUCGUCUAAACGCAUGCUCCAAUCCUUCUGGUUUGGCCCCACAGUCUUUUCCAAGAUUUGCUUGAUUUCGCGAUUUGAAACUUCGGCUUGGCCUUGAGGGUGAUAAAGUGUUGAAACCCUAUGCUUGACAUUGUACUUCUUAAAGAGUUCAUCAACGGUCCGAUUGCAGAAAUGUGAGCCUCUAUCACUUAUGAACACCCGCGGCAUCCCAAAUCUAGAGAAAAUGUUAGUCUUGAUGAAAUCUGAAACCACUCUAGAAUCGUUAGUACGGGUAGCUUUUGCUUCUACCCAUUUGGAAACAUAAUCAACCGCAAGCAAAAUAUAAGUGAAACCAAAUGAAGAAGGAAAGGGGCCCAUGAAAUCAAUACCCUAAACAUCAAAAAUUUCAACAUUAAAGAUAGGGGUUUGCGGCAUUUGGUCCUUAGCACCAAUGGUACCUGUCAUUUGACAUCUAUCACAUGUUAAGCAAAACAUUCUAGCAUCUUUAAACAAUGUAGGCAAAUAAAAACCACAUUCUAACACCUUAAGAGCUGUUCUUUGAGUGCCAAAAUGACCCCCACAUGCAUAAGAAUGACAAAAGGCUAGCAUGGAGUUAAAUUCAGAAUUUGGUACACAUCUUCUAACAAUCUGAUCUGGGUAGUACUUCCACAUAUAUGGGUCAUCCAAAAUAUAAAAACGUGCAUCAUGUUUAAGUUUAUCACAUUGGGACUUGUUUAAGGUGUGAGGAACUUGCUUAGACACCAAAUAAUUGACCAAAUCGGCAUACCAAGGGGUACUUACCUCAAUGGACAGAAGUUGCUCAUCCGAAAACAUUUCUGAAAUGGGAAUGGGCUCUUCCUCACGCACCAACCUGCUUAGGUGGUCGGCAACCACAUUGUCACUUCCCUUUUUGUCCUUAAUUUCGAUAUCAAACUCUUGAAGUAGGAGCAUCCAACGAAUGAGUCGAGGUUUAGCUUCUUUCUUGGUGAACAAGUACUUCAAGGCUGCAUGGUCAGUGAAAACAAUGACUUUAGUGCCAAUUAAAUACGAUCUAAACUUAUCUAAUGCAAAGACAACAGCUAAGAGCUCUUUUUCUGUUGUGGAAUAAUUUAAUUGUGCAUCAUUUAAGGUACGAGAAGCAUAAUAAAUAACAUGUGGCAACUUGUUUUUCCUUUGACCCAAAACAGCCCCAAUUGCAUAAUCUGAUGCAUCACACAUGAGCUCAAAGGGAAUGCUCCAAUCUGGUGGAGUGAUGAUUGGUGCCGAGGUGAGUAGGUCCUUGAGAUGGUUGAAUGCUUGCUCACACGCCUCGUUGAACUUAAACAACACUUCCUUUUGUAGGAGACGGCAUAGAGGCUGUGCAAUCUUGGAAAAAUCCUUGAUAAAUCGUCGAUAGAAUCCUGCAUGACCAAGAAAAGAACGAACCUCUCUCACCGAAGUAGGAGAGGGUAAGUAGCGUACAAGAUCUAUUUUAGACUUAUCAACUUCAAUUCAUUUUUCAGAGAUUAUAUGACCUAAAACAAUACCUUGUUUAACCAUAAAAUGGCAUUUCUCGCAAUUUAACACAAGGUUUGUUUCAACACAACGUUUCAAGAUUAAAGUGAGAUUAUCCAAGCAAUUAUCAAAUGAACUACCAAACACACUAAAAUCAUCCAUGAAUAUCUCAAUAAUCCUUUCAACAUAAUUAGAAAAUAUGCUAACCAUACACCUUUGAAACGUGGCAGGAGCAUUGCACAAACCGAAUGGCAUGCGUCGAUAUGCAAACGUUCCAAAGGGACAAGUAAAAGUGGUCUUUUCUUGAUCAUCCGGGGCAAUAACGAUUUGAUUAUAACCAGAGUAUCCAUCAAGAAAAUAAUAAAAGGAAUGACCCGUUAACCUUUCGAGCAUUUGAUCUAGGAACGGCAAUGGGAAGUGAUCCUUCCUUGUGGUGGCGUUUAUCUUCCUAUAAUCAAUGCAUACUCGCCAACCGGUUUGAAUGCGAGUAGGUACAAGCUCAUUCUCCGCAUUCUCCACAACCGUCACUCCAAAUUUCUUCGGUACACAUUGGAUAGGUGAAACCCAACGACUAUCGGAGAUGGGAUAGAUCACUCCACAAUCAAGGAGCUUGAUUAUCUCAUUUUUCACAACUUCCAUCAUCGGAGGGUUGAGACGGCGUUGAGCCUCUCUAGUUGGUUUGGCCCCCUCCUUAAGAAAUAUGUGAUGCAUGCAUGUUGUAGGACUUAUACCUUUGAUAUCGGCUAAGGUCCAACCUAGGGCAGAUUUGAACUCCUUCAAAACUCGAACUAGUUUCUCCUCUUCUUGUGCCGUGAGGGAUGAGGAAAUAAUGGUAGGUAGGGAUUCUUUUUCCCCCAAGAAAAUGUACUUCAAGUGACUCGGCAAUGGUUUGAGUUCAAGGAUAGGUGCCUGAAUUAUUGAUGGAAGCAACUUGUUAGUCGAAAUGGGAAUUAACUCACGAGUAGGAAACUUACCAUCAUGCGUAGGCAACAACUCAAGGGCAGCAACCAUCUCACUGAUUUCCUCACUAGGAGGCACGGCAUGAAGUGAUCCAUGUGUGCCGUGGUUGAACAUAGGUGCUACCUCCUUGGUUUUGAAUUCCAUGCCUCUUGUAAUGACUUUUUCAAGCACAUCAUCAUUCAAAUCUUCAAGAUAUGCCUGCGCCAAAGAGUCAAUUAUAUUAAGAAAGAAACAUGAAUGGUCCUCGCUAGGGUACUUAAUAGAAUCCGAAAGAUUGAAGUUAACAACUUCCCCAUCAAAUUCCAUGGACAAAGUUCCAUUAAACACGUCAAUCUUAGUCCGGGCCGUUUUCAUGAAUGGCCUUCCAAGGAGGAUGGGCAAUGAAGUGGCAUGAUCCGAUUCAUCCAUUUCGAGAACAUAGAAAUCUGCUGGAAAGAUUAAGUGAUUGACCUGCACAAGAACAUCAUCCAAAACUCCCUUUGGAUAGGCGUUAGAUCUAUCGGCCAAUUGUAUAAUUACACCAUCAUUUUUCAACACUCCUAAAUUCAUAGAUGCAUAAAUUGAGUAUGGCAUAACAUUUAUAGAAGCACCUAAGUCUAACAUGGCAGAUUCAAAGCGAGUGUUACCAACGACACAAGGAAUUGUAAAACUACCCAGAUCUUUGCAUUUGGGGGGUAGUUUGCGUUGCAAAAUGGCGGAGACAUUUUCACCUACCUUUACAACCUCCUUGGUCGAAAUCCUCUUCUUAGUGGUGCACAACUCCUUUAGAAACUUGGCGUAUCUCGAAACUUGCUUGAUUGCAUCCAAAAGGGGUAUGUUAACUUGAACUUUCCUAAAUGUCUCAAGAAUGUCCUUUUCAGCUUCCUCCUUCUUUGUUUGCAUAAACCUACUAGGAAAAGGAACAUUCGAAGGAAAAACAUUAGUAGGAACUGAAUUUGACACAUUCCUACCCUUAUUGGACAAAUUGGACAGAUUUUGGGUACUAGAAGCUUGCGGCAAAGGUGGAACCACCUUUGUCAUGGGCAGGCUUGCUUCUUCCUCUUCAAUUUGCAAGUUUUCAUCCUCUUUGAGACCUGAUUUUGAUGGUGUAGGACCUGUCCCAACUUCUUUUCCACUUCUCAACAAUAUGGCUUUUGCACUUUCGAAACCUCCUUUUGGAUUUGGAAUGGUAGAACUAGGAAGUUGUCCUUGGUCUCGAAACUUCCCUACAAAAUCUGCAAUCUGCCCUAUUUGUUUCUCCAAAUGAUCCACCCUCUUGUCUUGGUUUUGCAUUGCUUUGGCUUGAUUUUCUUGCCCCUGAGACAAGUUAGUUAGUAACUUAAGAAGUGUAUCAUUGUCUAGAGAUGUACCUGAAGCAUUUGGGGCAGAUUGUUGUGGAACAUGUGGGGGUGCGUAUGGCUUGGUGAAGAAACCCGGGGGUUGUUGCCUAAAGCCUCCUCGUGGUUGGGAUUGUUGUGGCUCCCUCCACUUGAAAUUUGGGUGGUCUCUCCAACCGGGAUUGUAGGUAUUGGAAUAUGGAUCAUUUCUUGGUUGAUUUUGGCUUUGAAACCCAAUGGCAUUAGCGCUCUCCCAUCCACCGUUCUCAAUGAGUUGAGGACACUUUUCGGAGGCAUGUCCUUGGAUAGAACAUACGCCACACACCAUUGGUCCUUGAAUCUUCAUUCCCUCGGCCAUCUGUGAAACAAUGGAAGUAAGAUUAGCUAACUGAGAUUGAAUAUUGGAUGUGGAACUUACCUCAUGCACUUGUUGCCAUGGGGGUCCUCUUUGGCCUACACCCUCGUAUUGUUGAGCGUUUAAUGCUCAAUUAGCAAUCAAGAUUUUUGCAGCCAUGGGCGUUUUGUCCACCAAUGCUCCACCCGCCGAAGCAUCGAGCAUUUGACGUUCAAGUGGUAGGAGCCCCUCGUAAAAGUAUUGGAGAAGUAGUUCCUCCUUCAUCUGAUGCUAUAGACAAGAAGCAACAAGUGAUUUAAAACGUUCAUAAUAAGUGGGAAAAGACUCACCUUCCUCUUGCUGAAUACCGCUUAUCUUUUUACGAAGAAGGAUGAUUCGAGAAGUUGGGAAGAACUUCUCCAAAAAUGCCCUCUUCAUACUCUCCCAUGACGUAACUGUUCCGGGAGCCAACUCGUAUAACCAAUCCUUGGCUUUGUCCAUCAAAGAGAAUGGAAAAGCCUUCAUCUUCAAAAUGCUUCCGUUGACGUUAACCGGAGUCAUACUUGAAACCACCUCAAACUCUUUCAAAUGCUUGUUAGGGUCCUCCAUGGACAGUCCAUGGAACUUUGGAAUGUGGUGGAGCAAACUUGACUUUAACUCGAACUCUUCGGUUUUACCUUGAGCAGCCGUGGGAUAUUGGAUACACAAGGGUGCGGUAUUAUCCAAUCCCAAGGCGGAAAGCUCCUUUAGUGUACGGUUAUCCAUGGCCAUGCCUUGCACUCCUUCACCCACUUGUGCCGUGGGUUCCUCCUCCUCUUCUAGAACUUGUUCUUCAAGGUCAGGUUCCGGGCUAGGUGGUUAGACUUUUGUUGGUUCCUCCUUCUUCUCAAAGUUCUCUCGAAAUCGUCGUCAAAGUCCAAAAUAUGCUCACGAACAGGUUGGGAACUUCGAGUCAUGCACUAGUACCUAAAAACAAAGAAACAAAACAAGUCAGAAACUUCAACAAAAUAAAAUAAAUGAAAAGAAAACAAUGCAAGGGAUUAGCAAAGUUGCUAAUCCCCGGCAACGGCGCCAAAAAUUUGAUGCGAAAUAUAUAAGCACACAAAUUAAACCCUCUUUUUGUCAAUUGUAGUAAAGUAUGUAAGUAGGGAUCGUUCUAAACCGGGGAUUAGGAGGGAUUGCUAAACACUUGAAAACUUGUUAGGAGCAUAUUUAUACGACUUAGUUAGCUUGUUUUCUUGCUUUUAAUUAGCUAAACUAUGAUAAUUAUAGUGUUUAAAGUUAUUUUCGUGCAAUUUCAGGUUUUAGUGUCAAAGUAUGCAAAAAGAAGCAAUUUGGAACAUUCUAGAGCAUUUUUGGGCCAAGAUUGGAUUGUGCAAGCAUGGAGGCAUGAGGAUGGACGAAUUUGAAGACAAAAGAGGCUAUGAACAUGCUAAAAAUCUGGUGAAACAAAUAUAAGUUGCAAGAAGGGAUAAAUUUCUAGAAGGAUUGACCAAAACUUCACUCAAAACCAAGAAAUUCUUCAAUGCCGUGGGCAUUGAUUCACUUUCACCAGAAAUUUGAGUGAUGAUGCAAUGCUUAAAUCACCAUGACAUGUGAGUGGAUGAUGCAAUGCUUAACUCACCAUGACAUGUGAAUGGAUGACUCAAUACCUAACCCACCAACAAUUCCCACUCUUUGCCAUGCUCACCUACUCAAUUCCACCAAAAUUUUGUGUUAAACAAGUCCAUCCUUUUCCUAUAAAUACCAUGGCAGCAACCUCAUUCAAAUCAUCCAGAAAUUAACCAUUCUCCAAGCCUUCCCUUGCCUCUCCAUACAUAUCUAAACCUUCCCCAUCCAUUCCUCCAUAUAACCAACCAUUCAACCACCAUAACCACCUUGUGCCGCCACCAUUGAAGGAGAGGAGGAGUAGUGCCGUGCUUAUGCAAUCUGCAACUAUUAGAGUGUUUGGAAUUCUUUCUUCUUUUAAUUCUAUGUUCAUGUUUAAUUUAACUUGUUGUUCAAUUAUGUUAAACAUGUGGAACUAAUUUCUUUUUGGCUAGAGGUUAAUUCAAGGCCAUGAAUAUAUUUGUAAUAUGAAUUGAUUACCUUCAGUUGUGAUUUAUGAGUUGUGAUUUAAUUUGCUUAACUGCUUGAUUGAUAACUUAUUUUUGUAUGUCGAUUAAGAAUGCAUACUUAAUUUACAUGCAUGAAUUUGAUGCUAGAAUAUAAGUGAAUUUCACCUAAUCGUUAUGAACUUAUAUUCACAAGUAGUGAAGGUUGUUAUCCACAAUCGUGUUAAGUGAAUUCUUGGCAAGAGUAUCAUGCGUAUUCCAUAGUUAUGAAUGCCUAGUCAAUGUUUAUGAUUUCCGUUGAACUUAAUGAUCUUUGUUGAAUGUCUCUAUCAUGCGUAUUCCAUAGUUAGGGACUUUGAUGAGGAAUAAUUUGGUUGUAAUGCGUAUUCCAUUCAAUCCAAUGAAUCUAGGGAAAUCUAAGAGUUAAUUUAAGCGGACCUAAUUAACUUGGAACAUUGAGAUUUACAAUUUAUUGAAGGAACAACUGAAAAUCAAUUUAGGUUGCAUAUGUGUCAUGUGUGGAGAAGAACCCUCUAGCUAGUCCGUCACUUAUCCUUUCACCUUAAUUUCAUGCUUUUGUCAAUUCUGUAAUUUAUUUAAGUUUAAUUUAUUUUCUCGUCAAAACCAAACCCCCCCCCCCAUUAUUAAAUUAUAUUAUUUAGUUAGUUUUCAUUGUUGUUAGUCUUUUAAUUCAAUUUCCGUCCAUUUCAAUUCCUAGUGUCUAAUUUGAUUGUUUUCAUUAUUUUGAGUCAUUCUAAGUGUGUUUCGAGUUAUUAGAGUUUUUAGCUUAGUUUUGUGUCCUUGAGUCUUGUUUAAUAUUUUUAAAUUAAUUUAGAAUAGAUUAGCAAUCCCUCCUAAUCCCCGGCCUAGAACGAUACCCUACUUACAUCUAUACUACAAUUGUCAAAAAGAGGGUUUAAUUUGUGUGUCAAGUAAUUCUCACAUCAAAUUUUGGCGCCGUUGCCGGGGAUUAGCAACUUUGCUAAUCCCUUUAUUUUUGUUUUUGUUUAUGUUUAUAUUGGUGUUUGUGUAUUUUACUUUUGAUAUUUGAUUUAUUUUUCUUUCUUUGAUUUUAGGUACAAAUGGAGCAAGACAUGGCACUUGCGACCAUUCAAGCUCAAUUGACACAGCUCACUGCUCAAUUGACUCAUAAUGCCGAACGGACCACAAUGCCAAGUGUCCCUACAUUUGAUGUGCCCUAUGGGCAAGGAUAUCAACAUCCUCAAUUCACUGUGAACGAAGAUGCUUGGGGUUAUCAAGGCUAUGAUCAACCAAGCAACAACAUGUUUUCCAACGCUUACAAUUCGGCUUGGAGAGAUCAUUCAAAUUAUAUGUGGGGGGAACCUCAACAAUUCCAACAAGAUGGAUAUUGGCAGCAAGAGGAGGAGUUCUAUUCAAAACCUAUGCAAUAUGCUCAAUCAAACUCAGGUUCGUCAAUAAAUUAUAAUCAAAUUCUUAAUGAAUUAAAUUGUUUGGUGCAGGGCUCACAAAAUCAAGCCAUGGAGGCUCAACAAGAUGGAUAUUGGCAGCAAUCUGAGGAGUUUUAUUUAACGCCUAUGCAGCCACCACCGCAUACCCCACAACAAUUCCAAUCAAAUUCAAGUAUGUCCAUGGAUAGUGAUCAAAUUCUUCAAGUACUAACCUCUUUGACGCAGGACCAACAAAAUCAAGACAAGAAGUUGGAUAAAUUGAUGAGUCAAAUGGGAGAGAUUAUGGAAUUCAUGGUACAAAUUCAAGAGCAAAGUGAACUCUCCAGGUCAACUGUUGAAAAUUCGAAGGAAGAUUUUGAAUCCACGAUGCUAUCACUUUAGAAGGUGACAUGAAGGAUGAAGUUGUCCCAGAACUAUCCAAACACAGCCCGAACAUGGAUGAAUUGCUGCUGCAAGCAGAAGAGGAGGAGGACGACCUAGGCAGUUUAGAAGAAUUCUUGCUGCAAGCUCCUCAAAUCCCUAUGUCAUCCAACUCAGGUGAGGAAGUUCUAAAUCCACUUCAUUCUAACAUUAUUCCACCAAAUGUCCUUUUUCCUUGUAGGUUUUUGAUUCCAAAUAUCAAAGAGAGUGAAAAAGACAUUGUGGAAGCUCUUCCAAAGGUGCAAAGUGAUAUCCCAAUUCUUGGUGCACCAAAACAAGUUCCCGAUGGUAUUGAAACGUUCAAAAAGAACCUUGCACACCAAGAAAAGGGAUUCAAGAAAAAUGAAGUGGUUGAAGCAUAUCAAGAAUACAUCCAAGAGGUUGUGCAUGAGACAAUCAAGCCCAAAGCAGUUGAGUUUGAUGACACGGGACAAGCCACAACCAUCAUAGUAAACCUGGCCAAGUUCAAAGUCCCGGAAAUGUUCAAAGAUGUGGUGUUUGUCAUUGAGUUUGUGUCGGAAAAAGAAAGUAAACCAUUUUCUCCAAUUUUAAUUUUAAUUUAUACUAACAUGUUUCUGAUUUUGAUGAUUCAGGCACCCACUCUUGAAUUUAAACCAUUGCCGAAUCAUUUCAAGUAUCACCUCCCAUUAAAAGAUAAAUUCCAUGCUUUGGAGCCGAGGGGAAUUUAAAGGAAAGAUUCGUCCCGCUAAAGACGUUAAAUCAAGCGCUUCUUGGGAGGCAACCCAAGCAUUCAACGAAGGGAGACUUUGGAAUUGCUAACCAAAUCAGAUUUGCAUUCUUACACCCUUAUCUUUACUGCUUUCAUUUUGUUUUGUUCAGUUAGUUGUGUUAUUUGGUUGAUUUCUAUGAGUUUGUGUUAUUUAGUUUAAGUGUGGGGGAAGGUUAAACAAAGUCUUUUUACAUUGAUUUACAUAUUUUACAUUGAUUAAAAAAAAAAAAAAAAAAAAAAACAUAAAGGUAAAAAUAUUUUACAAUGAUGUGUAAACUAAUAGCAUUCAUUGGUCAGGUGGUGCUUCAGUAGUCAGCGGAGCUUCAGCAGUCGGCGGGGCCACGGAAGGAGGAGGUAUCGGAGGUUGAUCAGUUGGAGCUUCACUACGCGGUGUCGCCCCAGAAGACGAAGGCAGAUGCGGUUGGAACAAACCCAUAAACCUCCGGUGAUCAACCACCAACGAUUCAACGUGACGGGUUCGAGCAAAUAGGCGUUGGGCCAUGUUGGACACAUAACCAGCACACUGCACGCUAAGUGCCAGAGACUCCUUAACCGCCAAUUCAUCAGACCGUCUAGCGAGCAGUCUGUUAUCUCUGGGGGUGACAAGGUUCCGGGCCACCACCGCAGCGGUCAUGUCAUUUUUCAUCACCGAAUCCCCAACGGUAAGAGGACCGGUAGGGGAUAUGAAGGAUGGGUGCCAUAUGUUGUCUGGUGAAGGCGGAGCUGCCUCUUCACCAAUGUUCAAGUCAAAACGACGAUCGGAAGGGCCAGACAUUUUUCAGAGGUGGUGAAGAAAGAAGAGAGUCGGACUGAUUAAGAUUUUGGAAGUGCAAGAAGGGAGUGUUUACAGGAGAGAGCUCAAGUGUGUUGUGGAACAAAAUUAACGCCUCUAUAAAAAAGAAAUCAAAGAGGCGCUCCUCAGAGAAGCAUCCUCUCGCAAAUCGAAGAGUCGGGGCUCCUUUCUCAAAAGUCGGAUUCUUUUCUCAAAAGAGGCGUUUCAUCUUAAAAUUUGGGCUUGCUCAGAAACCAUGAGCUGAACCCCGGAUUUCAAAAGAUCAAUUUGUCCAAACGUGUCGUCACUCGUCACAUGCAACUGGCAGUUUUACGAAAAUUACGGGCAGCUUUGUCAGAAAGCGCGUAAUUUGUACUAUUCAUCCAUCCACCGGCUGCCGACAAUGAGUGAGGGAAUAGUUCCGGUUGUGAAGAAAAGUCCUAUAAGUGUCUACCUUCGCCUUCCCACAGCAAAGGCACACCCUCUCAGCACUUCUUCAUCUCCGAGAAUGCAUUCCCAAAGAACCCUUUCGAGUCACUCUGUAUUUUUCAUCCCCUGGGAUACCCCUGCAACAACCCAUCCAGAGCACAAGUAUUUCAUAUCAUAAAGGUUGAGAGCACGAGUAUCUCAUAUCAUGCUUUCUCCCUGUCCUUUCUCCAGUCAGCACCUGCUCUCGAGUACUCAUCAUCUUAUGCCUUCGCUUCGUCUCUCACGUCUAAGGGAAGUGAAGAUGAUACCUCGAAGCAUGUGGAGACAACGUGCUGAUUCAUCCUCAACUAAGGACAAGGAGAAAGAGAGCAAGAGGUGGGCACUUGGAAAGAUUGAAGAAAGAAACAGACCAACACCUUUCCCUCGUGCCUGCCCGUCGUGCAGAAGAAACAAGCAGAGAAGAAUGCAGCUUGCACAAUCAUCCCAGCAGAAGGAGUCUAAGAUGAAGAACUAGAGAAGCUGCCAAAUAUGCUUGGAGAACAAAUAAGGAACUGCAACAUCACCAAAGAGCAAAGCUUCGCCGUACAAUAUCAUCAAAUCAUCACUUGCAAGUAAAAAGCUAAGUGUCACCCCGUUCAAGAGGAAAGCUGUGGAAAGUCAACAAGCACGACCAAUGAUCACUUAUUAGUUCUAUUCAUUGUCUUUUAUCGUGAUUUUCAAUUUUUCGUUUGCAAUUUUUUUUUUCUUGCGUUACUUAACUGAAUUAUUUCUUUUCUUUGCAGGAAUUUUUGGUUAUUUCCACCCUUGAAGUUGAUUGCAGAAUUUUAGCUUGGGGGGUCAUCGCUUGGUUUUACUGCAAACUAGGGAAGUUUUCAGUCCAAUUGCUUUAUUUUGUUUCUUAUUAUUUAUUUAUUUUAUUUUUAUUUGCAUUAUAGUGUUUUCUGACAUUGGGGACAAUGUCCAGUUUAAGUUUGGGGGUAAAGAGUAUAAAAAUGACCAAAUUGAAUUUUUUUUUUUUUUUUGUACCUUCAACUACGAACGAGUUUCAUUUGUUUCCAUGUUGUUGCUUUUUGUUUUCUUAAUUAGUUUUGUUUUCUUUUUAAAAAAAAGAAAAAAAAAAUAAAUCGGAAAUUUUAAAAAAAAAUCCAAAAAUAUUGUCUUGUUUCCCUUAUUGUUUUGAAUUAGAUUUUUGUUAGUUUCCCGACCCAAUGAUAUAAUUGGAUCAAAUUUGAACCAUGAUCAUCAAGAACUUAGUUAACAUGUGUUUUGUGAAAUUCCUAAUUCUCUUGUUAGUUUUGUACAUGUUUGACCAUCUUUGAAAAACCAAAUGCACAUAGCCUUGUUAAUGUGAAACUAAAGUACGACUUAAAGCUUCAUAUGUGAAUUUAGUGACCAUAUACAUCCUAUGUGAGUUUUUGAGCCGAUUGAAAGUGUGUGCAUUUUUCAUACACUCCUAUUCUUUCAUGUGUGAUGAACUUAUGUGAGAUACAUCUCUAGAACUUGCGUAACGAUCUUUCGAAAUAUUUGUCAUUGAUUGCAUGAAUUUGGAAAUGAUAGAGGCAUUAGGUUUACCACUAUGGCCCAAAUAACCAUGUUUCCCAAAGAAAAAUGAUAUCAUUAGAUUGCCAAUUUGAGCCGUGUACGUUGAGCCUUUUAUUUCUUAUCACCAGAUAUGUCUACCCUUAUACCUGAAACAUUUUUCCUUACCCUUUCCAAGCGAGCAAUGCGAGAUUGUCUUAUGAGAAAUGUUUGUGAAGUACUUUGAAGGUGUUUGGCAAAAGAAUAAGUGUGGGGGUAUUUCAUGUUUGUAUAAAAAAAAAAUAAAAAAAAAUAAAAAAAAAAGAGAAAAAAAAAAGAAAAGAAAAAGAAAGAUUGUAUACAAAGAAAAUAAAAAGUUUUUGAAGUUUCAGUUAAGGGUGUGGUUGGAGGUGCUAGAAGAAUCGCUGGAAAGAUUGAGUUCUUAUAAAUCUAAACAAAAGAAUUGCUUGCAAUGUAGCUUGGAACUUGUGUUUUCCUAUUCUUUCGUUUCAAUAACCCUAUCCCUAAGCCUCAUUACAUCCAAUAAAAGUCCUCUUGAUUUAAGUUUUUCAAUUAUGACUGUGGAGAAGUGAUCUUUAUGCAAGCUUAUGGUAGAAAUUUCACAUUUGAUUCUUUGAGCGAAACACAUUUAAACUAAACACAUGUGUGAUUGAGUGUAUAUUCCGUGAGAAGGUUGCUAGUUUGCAUAUGAUGAUUUUAAAAAAAAUAAAUAAAAAAUUUUUUUGAAAUUGCAUUAGCAUGGCUAUCUCACACACUACACUUCAAGGAUGAUUUAAAGAUUACUGCUAAUAUUUGAAUAAGGAAGAUGAACUUGGAUUAGCUUGUUUGGUGCUAGCUAUGGUUCUUGUUGAUUUGUGUUCUCAAAUGAAAUUCUAUGAGGGUCACAUAGGGGGAAGCUAAUGUUUUUGUUGUUACUAGUUCUUGUUUUCUUUGUUUUGCUCGAGGACUAGCAAAAGCUAAGUGUGGGGGAAAUUGAUAGGAGCAUAUUUAUACGACUUAGUUAGCUUGUUUUCUUGCUUUUAAUUAGCUAAACUAUGAUAAUUAUAGUGUUUAAAGUUAUUUUCGUGCAAUUUCAGGUUUUAGUGUCAAAGUAUGCAAAAAGAAGCAAUUUGGAACAUUCUAGAGCAUUUUUGGGCCAAGAUUGGAUUGUGCAAGCAUGGAGGCAUGAGGAUGGACGAAUUUGAAGACAAAAGAGGCUAUGAACAUGCUAAAAAUCUGGUGAAACAAAUAUAAGUUGCAAGAAGGGAUAAAUUUCUAGAAGGAUUGACCAAAACUUCACUCAAAACCAAGAAAUUCUUCAAUGCCAUGCGUGGGCAUUGAUUCACUUUCACCAGAAAUUUGAGUGAUGAUGCAAUGCUUAAAUCACCAUGACAUGUGAGUGGAUGAUGCAAUGCUUAACUCACCAUGAUAUGUGAAUGGAUGACUCAAUACCUAACCCACCAACAAUUCCCACUCUUUGCCAUGCUCACCUACUCAAUUCCACCAAAAUUUUGUGUUAAACAAGUCCAUCCUUUUCCUAUAAAUACCAUGGCAGCAACCUCAUUCAAAUCAUCCAGAAAUUAACCAUUCUCCAAGCCUUCCCUUGCCUCUCCCUACAUAUCUAAACCUUCCCCAUCCAUUCCUCCAUAUAACCAACCAUUCAACCACCAUAACCACCUUGUGCCGCCACCAUUGAAGGAGAGGAGGAGUAGUGCCGUGCUUAUGCAAUCUGCAACUAUUAGAGUGUUUGGAAUUCUUUCUUCUUUUAAUUCUAUGUUCAUGUUUAAUUUAACUUGUUGUUCAAUUAUGUUAAACAUGUGGAACUAAUUUCUUUUUGGCUAGAGGUUAAUUCAAAGCCAUGAAUAUAUUUGUAAUAUGAAUUGAUUACCUUCAGUUGUGAUUUCUGAGUUGUGAUUUAAUUUGCUUAACUGCUUGAUUGAUAACUUAUUUUUGUAUGUCGAUUAAGAAUGCAUACUUAAUUUACAUGCAUGAAUUUGAUGCUAGAAUAUAAGUGAAUUUCACCUAAUCGUUAUGAACUUAUAUUCACAAGUAGUGAAGGUUGUUAUCCACAAUCGUGUUAAGUGAAUUCUUGGCAAGAGUAUCAUGCGUAUUCCAUAGUUAUGAAUGCCUAGUCAAUGUUUAUGAUUUCCGUUGAACUUAAUGAUCUUUGUUGAAUGUCUCUAUCAUGCGUAUUCCAUAGUUAGGGACUUUGAUGAGGAAUAAUUUGGUUGUAAUGCAUAUUCCAUUCAAUCCAAUGAAUCUAGGGAAAUCUAAGAGUUAAUUUAAGCGGACCUAAUUAACUUGGAACAUUGAGAUUUACAAUUUAUUGAAGGAACAACUGAAAAUCAAUUUAGGUUGCAUAUGUGUCAUGUGUGGAGAAGAACCCUCUAGCUAGUCCGUCACUUAUCCUUUCACCUUAAUUUCAUGCUUUUGUCAAUUCUGUAAUUUAUUUAAGUUUAAUUUAUUUCUCGUCAAAACCAAACCCCCCCCCAUUAUUAAAUUAUAUUAUUUAGUUAGUUUUCAUUGUUGUUAGUCUUUUAAUUCAAUUUCCGUCCAUUUCAAUUCCUAGUGUCUAAUUUGAUUGUUUUCAUUAUUUUGAGUCAUUCUAAGUGUGUUUCGAGUUAUUAGAGUUUUUAGCCUAGUUUUGUGUCCUUGAGUCUUGUUUAAUAUUUUUAAAUUAAUUUAGAAUAGAUUAGCAAUCCCUCCUAAUCCCCGGCCUAGAACGAUACCCUACUUACAUCUAUACUACAAUUGUCAAAAAGAGGGUUUAAUUUGUGUGUCAAGUAAUUCUCACAUCAAAACUGACUUAAAAACGUAAAAACAAAGUUUAAAGCACUAAACUAGACUCAAAGAAUGCAAAACUACAAUUUAAAACACUAAAACAAACCAAAAACUCAAAACAGCAACUAAAAGACUCAAAACUGCCUUAAAAACACUUUCUCGGCAGUUUUGAACUCUAACACAAAUCUGAACGAAUUCGAGUUUUAACUUGAAUCAAAACACUUAAAAACACAAACCAAAACACUUUCUAACUAAUCUAGGACUUCAAAAUAAAGGGGAGAUUGGUUUUGACGAAAUUGAAACAAAACACAAACUUUGUAAUUAAAACAGAUUGUAAAACAAUUUGGGAGUCUAAAUGGAUGAUUGAUUAAUUAGAGGCUCUUUCUCCACACAUGACGUAUAUGCAAACGAUUCAAUUUCCAAUUAUUCCUUCAUAGAAUUAUGAACGACAUUGCCUCAAAUUAACUGUGACAUCACUAGCUAACUCUCAGAUUUUCCUUGUAUUAUUGGAUUGGAUGGCAUCAUUCGACAACCCAAAGCAUUCUUCAAAAGUCCCCUACAUGACAUCAUAAUAGAGAUACGAUCAAAGAUCAUUACGUUCAAUGAAAACCAUAAGCAAUGACAAAGCACUUGCAACUAUGACAUCAUGUCACUCAUGCUAGGAAUUGAACUUAACGCGAUUGUGACUAGCAACCUUCACUACAUAUGAAUAUAAGUUUGUAACGAUUAUGUGAAACAUCCUUAUAUUCUAGCAUCAUAUUUAUGCAUGCCAAUUAAGUGUCGACCCCUAAUUAACAAACACAAAUAAGUUAUUAAUCAAACAGUUAAGCCAAUUGCAUUCACGAUUCAAGAAUUCAUAAUUGGAAUUUAUCAAAUCAAAUUGCACACAUAGUCAUGGCUUUGAAAUCACCCCUAACCAAUAGGGGUUUAGCCACUCAUGUUCAUAGCAAAACGAAAGGGAAAGGAAUUACACAAUGAAAUCAUAAAACGAAUUACACCUAGAAUGCACCAACAAUGAAGCUUGAACAUCCAAGGAUCCUUCCUUCUUAUUUCUUGCUGCGGCACACAAGUGGGUGAGUGUAUGGAUUGGGUUUUGGAGGUUAUGGAUGGUGUAGAAGGGUGGAAUGGUGUUUAGGAUGGAUGUAUGGUGCGGCUAGGAGUGUUUUUGGGCAGAAACUAUGGAGAUUGGUGAAGGAUGGGUGCGGCAAAGGUGGUGGAUGAUUUCUGACGUGAAUGGGAGUGAAUGGGGAUGUUUUGUGGCUGCACAAGGAUGUUUAUUUAAAGGGAUUUAGGAAAUAAAACCCUAGGUUAAUUAGGUAAACAGAAAUUAAGUCUAAAGCUCUAGAAUUAAGGAAACAAAUCAGAAAACUAAGGGAAAAUAGGCUAAAGGGUGCGGCAAGGCAUUAAAACACAAUAGGAAUGUGUUUUUAUUCAGAAAAUAGGAAAGAAUCACUCUCCCUUGCACGGCAAGGAAGAGGAAAGGUCAAGGGAUGCGGCUGUGAUGUAGGAAAGGUUUAGGGAAAGGUUUAAAUGUCCUAAAACUGAAGGGAAAGGGUUCCCUUGCACGGCAAGGAAGAUGGAAUUGUGGAAAAGGCAUGUGAGGUGCGGCAUUGAUGUAAACCAUGCAAGAAAUGUGUGCUUGAUGUCCUAGAAUACUUAGAAGACCUUCAAAGUUGAUAACACUUAGGGACACUUAGGAAAGGUCAAACCAAAGUAGGAAACCUUGGCUUAACUUUCCUACUUCAAGUAGGAAUCCUUGUUGGAAUUGGAAUCCUUGUUCUUCUAGGAAUCCUCAUGUGAUUAGGAAUCCAUCUUCAAUUAGGAAUCCUUCGUUGAUUAGGAAACCUAAUUUCUUCAAGUCUUCAAAUUCGUCCAAACCCUUGGCUCCAAAUAUGUGACAUUCAUUCCAAGCUCCAUUUUGCUCCAAAAGGCUCCAAAAUGAAUCUUUUUAUAUGCUUUGCCCUUAAAACCUGAAAACACAUAAAACUAGCUUAAAAGACUACUUUAACUAAGAAAACACCAUGGAAAUGCAUAAGAACUAGCUAACUAAGGCGCAUAAAUAUGCUCCUAUCAAAGCUAAGAUGGAUUUUUCUUAUGAUAAUGAGGGAGCAUAUGUAAUCCGUUUUUCGCUCUUUUUUCAUCUGCUCUAUCAGAUACAAUGUUUGACAAAAAGAGUCCAUUUAAAUUAGAAAGAGUUGCAUUAGGCAUAAUUGGACAAAGGAAAGCUCUUUAUAGCCACAAAAAAGUAAAACUGCUUUAUAAUUGGACAAAGAAAGAGGAAGAUAAGAAGAAACAAAGAAAAGGCCCUUAAAAAUUUGGUAGAGACAUUUUCAACAAGUGACAUAAAAAAACAGAGCCAACCAAACAGAAACUCAAUACCAAUAUGCAGCAAAAAGAAAAUAAUGCCUGAGUAAGAAAAAAAAAACAACAACAAAGCCUUUUCCCACUAAGUGGGGUCGGCUAUAUGAAUCCUAGAACGUCAUUGCGCUCGGUUUUGUGUCAUGUCCUCCGUUAAAUCCAAGUACUCUUAAGUCUUUUCUUAAGAUCUCUUCCAAAGUUUUCCUAGGUCCUCCUCUACCCCUUCGGCCUUGAACCUCUGAGCAAGGAAAAAACAAAAAAAAAAUUAUAAACCUGAGCAGCGAUGUAGAAUUCAUACAAAUGCAAUAAUGUUUCCUUCAAAUGAAAACCUGUAGGAAAAUAAAAAACCAAAUGAAAUAGCAUGGCAGAAAAAUUGAGGGGGAAAAUAAAUUAAAAAUAAAUAAAUAAAUAAAAAACAAAGAGGACGAAUGACGUUGUCCAAUGUACUUAAUUU